UAGCCUAAUGGUUAAGGUUAUGGAUCGUCAAUCCGGAGACGGCGGGUUCGAUUCCCGU
rfam:Aedes albopictus isolate Foshan contig150507, whole genome shotgun sequence.